CAGUCCGGCUGGAUCGGUGACAGGUGCUGCAUGGCUGUCGUCAGCUCGUGUCGUGAGAUGUUGGGUUAAGUCCCGCAACGAGCGCAAACCCUUGUCCCUUAGUUGCCAGCAUUCAGUUGGGCACUCUAAAGGAGACUGCCGGUGUCAAACCGGAGGAAGUGGGGAUGACGUCAAGUCCUCAUGGCCCUUAUGUCCAGGGCUACACACGUGCUACAAUGGCCGGUACAAAGGGCGCAAGACCGCGAGGUGGAGCAAAUCCCAAAAAACCGGUCUCAGUUCGGAUUGGAGUCUGCAACUCGACUCCAUGAAGUUGGAAUCGCUAGUAAUCGCGUAUCAGCAUGACCGCGGUCGAAUACGUUCCCGGGCCUU
rnacentral:rRNA from 1 species